rnacentral:rRNA from 1 species
GAUAAGGUUAAGUUAAUAAGGGCGCACGGUGGAUGCCUUGGCACUAGAAGCCGAAGAAGGACGUGACUAACGACGAAAUGCUUUGGGGAGCUGUAAGUAAGCGCUGAUCCAGAGAUGUCCGAAUGGGGGAACCCACUAGCUACUGGCUAGUAUCCAUAACUGUUAAGGUUAUGAGAAGGAAGACGCAGUGAACUGAAACAUCUAAGUAGCUGCAGGAAGAGAAAGCAAACGCGAUUGCCUUAGUAGCGGCGAGCGAAACGGCAGGAGGGCAAACCGAGAAGUUUACUUCUCGGGGUUGUAGGACUGCGACGUGGGACUUUAAAAGGAUAGAAGAAUU